GACGAACGCUGGCGGCGUGCUUAACACAUGCAAGUCGAACGGUAAGGCCCUUUCGGGGGUACACGAGUGGCGAACGGGUGAGUAACACGUGGGUGACCUGCCCCUUACUCUGGGAUAAGCCUGGGAAACUGGGUCUAAUACCGGAUAUGACCUCAUGCUGCAUGGUGUGGGGUGGAAAGUUUUUUCGGUGGGGGAUGGGCCCGCGGCCUAUCAGCUUGUUGG
rnacentral:rRNA from 1 species